rnacentral:lncRNA from 1 species
UCAAAUCAGACACUCUCUUGUCAGUUGGUCCAACUGCUUGUCCUUUAUCAAAUGCCACCUCAUCUCUUUCUUCAAAACUUCUUGCAUGAAUAUUCUUACAUGUUGUUUUCCCUCGAACUCUUUUCUUCUCUGAUGUCCCUAGAUUGAAUAACAAGCAAGACACAAGAAGAAAAAAUCAAAAUAUGUAGAAUAAUUAUAAGGUUUAAGACAUACCACCUGCAGCACCAUCGAUGUUCAUCUUCCAUCUCCAAUAAAUUCAUCGUCACCAACUUCAUCUUGUGCAUCAAAAUUAUCCAAUUCUAUUUCACGCUCAUCAAUAAUAGAAGAGGACAAAAAUCUGACUUCGUUUUCUGGGUGAUUAUCAGGAUGUUUUUCACCAUCGACUUGUAUCCCAUAUUUUUUUAGAAAUUGAAUAACGCUCGUAGACGGUAGGGCUGAGUUUGUCUUUACCACUUUGCAAUUUUGUAGCUCCUGAAUAUCAUGGUGUUUCUCUCCUUCACCUUGUGAUCUUUUAGGCAUAUGUAAAUUUUUAGGAUCUACCUUUGCAGAUGAUUGGAUCGUGGAUGUGGGCACAUGUAAUUUACUCGUUUCUUGCUUUUGAAUGGGAUCCUCUAAUUG